rnacentral:rRNA from 1 species
CACACUGCCGAGAAAAGCCUCUAGAUAGAAAAUAGGUGCCCGUACCGCAAACCGACACAGGUAGUCAAGAUGAGAAUUCUAAGGUGAGCGAGCGAACUCUCGUUAAGGAACUCGGCAAAAUGACCCCGUAACUUCGGGAGAAGGGGUGCUCUUUAGGGUUAACGCCCAGAAGAGCCGCAGUGAAUAGGCCCAAGCGACUGUUUAUCAAAAACACAGGUCUCUGCUAAACCGUAAGGUGAUGUAUAGGGGCUGACGCCUGCCCGGUGCUGGAAGGUUAAGAGGAGUGGUUAGCUUCUGCGAAGCUACGAAUCGAAGCCCCAGUAAACGGCGGCCGUAACUAUAACGGUCCUAAGGUAGCGAAAUUCCUUGUCGGGUAAGUUCCGACCCGCACGAAAGGCGUAACGAUUUGGGCACUGUCUCAACGAGAGACUCGGUGAAAUCAUAGUACCUGUGAAGAUGCAGGUUACCCGCGACAGGACGGAAAGACCCCGUGGAGCUUUACUGUAGCCUGAUAUUGAAAUUCGGCACAGCUUGUACAGGAUAGGUAGGAGCCUUUGAAACGUGAGCGCUAGCUUACGUGGAGGCGCUGGUGGGAUACUACCCUAGCUG